rnacentral:piRNA from 1 species
GUGGGUGCUGGGAAUUGAACCCUGA